rnacentral:rRNA from 1 species
UACGUAGGGUGCAAGCGUUUAAUCGGAAUUACUGGGCGUAAAGCGCACGUAGGCGGAUAUUUAAGUCAGGGGUGAAAUCCCAGAGCUCAACUCUGGAACUGCCUUUGAUACUGGGUAUCUUGAGUAUGGAAGAGGUAAGUGGAAUUGCGAGUGUAGAGGUGAAAUUCGUAGAUAUUCGCAGGAACACCAGUGGCGAAGGCGGCUUACUGGUCCAUAACUGACGC